UUGUUUUCAGUUCUAUGGACCUUGGGCUGCUUUUACAGGACCUUUCCUUUCUCUCCAGGAACAAGAGCGGCAUGGGGAACAAAGUCCUGUCCCAUGAGAGCAUCUUCAUGUUGGAUACUGAGCCUGAAAUAUCAGCAAGUGAGAUAUACACUUCUACAGAGUCCCAGAGAGGCAGGACUCUGCGGAGAUCUCUGGCCUUCAGAACUCUGCCUAGAAGUGGAGCCGUGUCUGGAACCUUGCCCAGAAGAGGAGUCUGGGUUGCAGGUUCCAAGAUCACUGAGGUAAUAAGAGUGGACUUGUUCAGAGCAUGGGACAGCUAAGUCGGGUAGAUCUGUGCUUGAAUUUUCUGCUACUUGCUGAUGUGUGCCCCUGCGUUAGUUGCUUAACCUCUCUUGAGACUUCCUUUCCUUACCUACAAUUAAUUGGAUAUUAAUGUUUACCUCAGAGAGUUGCUUGUGAGGAUUGAAUGAAGACCCAGGAAGGUCAAAGAAAUCAUUCAGACUCACCCAGGUAAUAAGUUGUAGACUUGGAAAUCGGACACAGAUCUGUUAACCUCAAAAUCCAUGGACUUUUUCUAAGAUGCUCAAAUCAUUUGUCUUUGCCUGGACAAGGUAGAUUUUUAGCCCCAAUAAAAUAUAGUGUGGACGCAGGAUAGUGCCCUACCUCCAGCUAAUUACAAAUUAUAGUUUUGUUUUUUGUGUUUUUGAGACAGUCUUGCUCUGUAGUCUAGGCUGCCCCUGAACUUACUAUGUAGCCCAGGCUGCUCUUGACCUUACGGCGAUCUGGUUGCCUCAGCCCUCCAAGUGCUGUGAUGACAGGCGUAUGCCACCGUGCCCAGCUUUUAUAAACUGUAAAAGACAGACCUUGCUCACUCAGACUCCUCUGGAGCUCUGAACUGGAAAUGUUCCAAUAGAGCUGGAGAUAUUGGCAGGGAGUCGACCCUUUCCAGCUGCCUCUUCCGUUGCUAAGCCCUGUGUGCCUGGGAAGGCCAUAAUAGGAGGAGAAUUUCUCCAUAGGAAAGCCGAUUCUUUUGCACUAGGCAAAAUGUAAGCUGGAGAAUUGGGGGUUUAGCUCAGUGUAGAGCAUUUGCUUAACACGCAGGAAGCCCAGGAUUCAACCCCCAGUACCUCCAAAACCAUAGAAAAGUAAGUAAGUGGGGCUUAUUUCUGACAUGGCUGCUAAGUACCACACAUACUUUUUCUGGUUUCUGCACAGCAGCCUCUGUUAAACCGGACACAGUGGCACACGCCCGUAGUACCAGCGCUCUGAGAGGCUGAGGCAGGAAAAUUGCAAGUUGGAGCCCAGCCUGGGCAAAUUUAGUGACUUACCAUAUUAAGACUCCGUCUUAUAGUAAUAAAUAAAAGAAAGGGCUGAGGAUGUGGCUCAAUGUGAACACACCGGGUUCAAUCCCUAGUACUGCAAAACGAAACAAAACUAA
rnacentral:lncRNA from 1 species